UAGUGGCGUACGGGUGAGUAACACGUGGGCAACCUGCCCUCGAGCUCGGGAUACCCUUUCGAAAGGAAGGCUAAUACCGGAUACGCUCCUCGGGUCGUUGGAUCUGGGGAGGAAAGGUGGCGAAAGCUGCCGCUCUUGGAGGGGCUCGCGGCCUAUCAGCUAGUUGGUGAGGUAACGGCUCACCAAGGCGAUGACGGGUAGCUGGUCUGAGAGGACGAUCAGCCACACGGGAACUGAGACACGGUCCCGACUCCUACGGGAGGCAGCAGUGGGGAAUUUUCCGCAAUGGGCGAAAGCCUGACGGAGUGACGCCGCGUGGGGGACGAAGGCCUUCGGGUUGUAAACCCCUGUCAGAGGGAAAGAAGGGUGUCGGCGUGAAUAGCGCCGGCAUCUGACGGUACCUUCAGAGGAAGCCCCGGCCAACUCUGUGCCAGCAGCCGCGGUAAGACAGAGGGGGCAAGCGUUGCUCGGAAUCACUGGGCGUAAAGGGCGCGUAGGCGGGAUGGCAAGUCGGUCGUGAAAUCCCUCGGCUCAACUGAGGAGAGUCGGCCGAUACUGCUGUUCUUGAGGGAUGCAGAGGAGACUGGAAUUCCCGGUGUAGCGGUGAAAUGUGUAGAGAUCGGGAGGAACACCGGUGGCGAAGGCGGGUCUCUGGGCAUCUCC
rnacentral:rRNA from 1 species